rnacentral:rRNA from 1 species
AGAUUGAACGCUGGCGGCAGGCCUAACACAUGCAAGUCGAGCGGUAGAGAGGUGCUUGCAUCUCUUGAGAGCGGCGGACGGGUGAGUAAUGCCUAGGAAUCUGCCUAGUGGUGGGGGAUAACGUUCGGAAACGGACGCUAAUACCGCAUACGUCCUACGGGAGAAAGCGGGGGACCUUCGGGCCUCGCGCCAUUAGAUGAGCCUAGGUCGGAUUAGCUAGUUGGUGAGGUAAUGGCUCACCAAGGCGACGAUCCGUAACUGGUCUGAGAGGAUGAUCAGUCACACUGGACUGAGACACGGUCCAGACUCCUACGGGAGCAGCGAGUAGGGGUAAUAG